rnacentral:rRNA from 1 species
CGGAGGUGCAAGCGUUAAUCGGAAUUACUGGGCGUAAAGCGCACGCAGGCGGUCUGUUAAGUCAGAUGUGAAAUCCCCGGGCUUAACCUGGGAACUGCAUUUGAAACUGGCAGGCUUGAGUCUCGUAGAGGGGGGUAGAAUUCCAGGUGUAGCGGUGAAAUGCGUAGAGAUCUGGAGGAAUACCGGUGGCGAAGGCGGCCCCCUGGACGAAGACUGACGCUCAGGUGCGAAAGCGUGGGGAGCAAACAGGAUUAGAUACCCUGGUAGUCCACGCCGUAAACGAUGUCGACUUGGAGGUUGUUCCCUUGAGGAGUGGCUUCCGGAGCUAACGCGUUAAGUCGACCGCCUGGGGAGUACGGCCGCAAGGUUAAAACUCAAAUGAAUUGACGGGGGCCCGCACAAGCGGUGGAGCAUGUGGUUUAAUUCGAUGCAACGCGAAGAACCUUACCUACUCUUGACAUCCACAGAANUUAGCAGAGAUGCNUUNGUGCCUUCGGGAACNGUGAGACAGGUGCUGCAUGGCUGUCGUCAGCUCGUGUUGUGAAAUGUUGGGUUAAGUCCCGCAACGAGCGCAACCCUUAUUCUUUGUUGCCAGCGAUUCGGUCGGGAACUCAAAAGGAACUGNCGGUGAUAAACCGGAGGAANGNGGGGGAUGACGUCAAGUCAUCAUGGNCCUUACNAGUAGGGCUACACACGUGCUACAAUGGCGCAUACAAAGANAANCGACCUCCCAAGACCAANCGGNCUCAUAAAGUGCGUCUAAUCCGGAUCGGAUUUUGNACUCACUCCUGAAAUCGGGAAUCCUNAUAAUCGNGGAUAAAAAUGCCNCGGNGAAUACAUUU